rnacentral:tRNA from 1 species
UUAGAAGUAGUUUAGAUUAGAAUUUGAGCUUUGGGAGUUUAAGGCGCUUUAUAGAAAGUCUUCUAGU